GACGUAGGAUGCAAGCGUUGUCCGGAUUUAUUGGGCGUAAAGAGUUCGUAGGCGGUUCGUCAAGUCUGAUGUUAAAGAUCGGGGCUCAACCCUGGGAGUGCAUUGGAUACUGGCGGACUCGAGUACGGUAGAGGCGAGUGGAAUUCCCAGUGUAGCGGUGAAAUGCGUAGAUAUUGGGAAGAACACCGGUGGCGCAAGCGACUCGCUGGGCCGUAACUGACGCGUGAGGAACGAAAGCUAGGGGAGCGAAUGGG
rnacentral:rRNA from 1 species